GCCACAGCCAUAUCAUCCUGCAGCCCAUGACUGGUUGCCCACUGAAGCUAAGCAGGGUUGAGCCUGGAUGGGAGACCUCCUGGGAAAACUAGGUUGCUGCUGGAA
ensembl:rRNA 5S_rRNA 5S ribosomal RNA